UCUCACACGGUGGUGAGCUGAAUGAAUUGGAAAGUACAACGAAACUCGUCUAUAGCCAAAAGAAACAUUGGGUGAAAACUUUGCACUGUUAGGCCAUAAUUGAAAUCUUUCAUUAUCGCGUCAAUGGUUGUCGUAUUAAAGAAAACCAAAUAACAGAAUGAAUCCUUGGGUAAAUCGAUAAUUACAUUGUCCGUAUUCUACUUGCAUGUGUGAUGU